UCGCGAAGUUAGGGUAAAUCUUUGAAAGGGGCUAGAUUCCAGACUCUUUCGCCAAACGGACAAUGGAAGAAGAGAUGCAGUUCGGUUUCUCGUUCACCACAAUGAGGGCAGAGCGUAAAAUUAUCAAUCAUUCUAGCCAUCAAAUUAUCUCCGACCUGGAGGGCUUUCUGGGCUGCUUUCCACAGUAGGUGCUUGGUCUUUGGGGAGCUUUUGAUAGCCCAAAUGUUAUUUUUCCAGUCGAAAGGUGCUACGGGAGGGUUGGAGGAAGGACGAUUUUCAAGGGAUAAAGCCCGUGACUUCGCUGGUUCCUUUUCGAGCUCUAAAGCUUCAUAGUAUCCCGAUUUAAUCGAGUAAAUACCGUCAUUGGUGGGGAGCCAAGCCCAACGAUCCGUAGCGCCUUUAUAGCUCGGCUGAAGGUUUAAGAUUUCAUCCACAUAAGAAGGGAGGAGAGAUUGAAGAAGAGGCUUGUUCCAGUUGCGGGUUCCGGGGAUCAAGAGAUCAACUACUAGGAGAUUUUGGGUAGAUUUCUCAGGUGGUCCCAUUGGGGCGCUGGAUUGAGUCAAGGAGAGCCAGUUACUCCUCUAUAUUGGGGUUGCAUUUCUGGAUCCAGUAACUCUUCCCAGAUUAGGUUUCAGGAGAGUUAGGCCUGCACAUAUUCUUUUCCAGCCAUGAGAGGCUGAGCCACGGGCUUUGCAAUCAAGGAUAUUGGAAGAGGAGCAGUAUUUGUCAAGGAGGACUUUAGCUAGCAAACAGGUUGGGUUGGAGAAUAUACACCAGCUGAGCUUUGCUAGCACGGCUUUGUUGAAGGUUUGAAUAUCCUUGAACCCUAAGCCUCCGUUCUUAAAAUAUUUGGUAAUCUUUUGCCAUGAAAUCCAGCAUAUUUUCUUCUUUCCGUUGUUUGAAUCCCACUAGAAACGAGUCAGUAUUGAUUGUAUGCGUUUUGUUAAAGAGGUAGGUAGCAAGAAGCAAGACAUGGUAUAAGUUGGCAUAGUGGCCCGCACUGAUUUGAGAAGGGUGAGCUUGCCAGCUGAGAAAAGGAACCUGGAUGACCAGCUCAGUAAUCUUUGCUUAAUACGAUCCACAAUGUUGCUAAAGAGAUCCUUCGUUUUCCUACCAAAGAGUUCAAGUAAGCCUAAACAUUUUCCUUUUCCACCCUCUUUCCAAAUAUUGAGGUCGCUUUUAGCUCUGGCUCUUGUAUCAUUGGAGGUUUUUACCAAGAAUUUAAUCGAUGACUUGUCCUGAUUUAUAUUUUGGCCUGAAACUUCCUCAUACUUUUGCAAGAUUCUUUUCAAGGUUUAACAGCUUUGAUGAUCCGAUUUUGCAGAAAACAUGGUGUUGUCCGCAAAUAGGAGAUUGUUAAUCCUAGGACUGCAUUUGGAUACUCUUAGACCAGUUAGGGUGCCUUGCUCUUGAGCUCUCGUACAAAGUUCCGAGAGGACUUCACUACAAAUGAGGAAGAUAAAGGGUGAGAGGGGAUCACCUUGUCUGAUACCUCGAUAAGGAACGGCCUUUCCUUUCGCUUAGCCAUUGAGGAGGUAAGAAUAGGUAAUAGUUGUAAUACAUUCCAUAAUCCAUGUGAUCCAGAGAUGGUGAAAACAUAACUGAGAUAGAGCUGCUUUGAUGAAAUCCCAUUUUAACCUGUCAUAAGCUUGCUCAUGUCUGUUUGACAGCCAUAAAAUAACAAUCCUAAAAAAUUGUUUAUUGAUAGAUGUCUGUUUCCGGGCAUCGAAGGUUUUCAGGUAGUAGAGAGCCUCAGAGCAUCCUCAAUGGUCAAUCCUUAAAAAUGAAUCUUAUGAUUUGUUUAGUAGUUUAAUUGAAAAAUUGAUGUUAAGAAGUGUAAUUAAAUUUUUAUGUUUUUAUGCAGGAUUAUUGGUUGGUUCUUAAGCAGUGGAUCUUAGGAUUAAAUUAUUAAAAAAAUUUUUUAACAAUUUUAAUUUUUGAAAACUUAAUAAUUAUUGCAAAAUAAAAAUUUUAAAACAUAGAUGAGAUACAAUUUAUUUCAUA
rnacentral:lncRNA from 1 species